rnacentral:lncRNA from 1 species
AAGCAGCCAGGAGUCUGCUCAGCCUGGAGUUCCUGGAAUUCUGCUUUGUGGGUAGCCAACAGCAUGGAUCUGCUGAAAAGGCAGAUGACAGCGGUAAAACAACAGCGGAGACAGACCACAGACGGAGAUCCAGAAUCUGAGCUGGAGCUGGAUGACAAAUACAGUCCUCUGCCCCAUCUGCCAUGGACCUGGGGGAUGACCCUUCAUUUGCCAGAGGAGGAUGGGAGCUUGUGGGGUGCUAAGACUGACAGUGGAUCCACCCAGCGGGAGAGUCUCUUAAUGACUCGACGGGGAUCCUGUCAGGGCUCUGCCUGCGCUCUCGCUCUGGGGCAUCCUGUGGCUCUCCCAGUAGGGGUGGAGGGGGCGUGGCUGGAUGCUUGCUCAAGGCCCUCCCCAUCCCAGCAGAGUCUUGCCCCCUUGACUCCUGAAGCUGGCUCCUUCUCCAGGCCUCCCCUCCGCACUUCCUGCCACUCUGCUGAAGCAGGCUCCACGGUUCCUCCCAGCUCCAGCCUCCCGCUGGCCUCCUCCACGGCCCUCUGCAUCUGAAGAUGCACCGCAUCCUGGUGUGAGUCUUCAAAUCGAGUCCAUCGGCACAGUGGGUUGUAAGCUCCCUGAAGGCUGAGACUCACCCUGCUCUGCUCAUCACGCUAUGCCCAGCUCAGCCAGCCCACAAGAGGAACCCAAGAAAUAUGUGCUGAACCCA